AUUAAUCAUCAGCAUCUUAGAACUGACAGAUCUGCUUCUAAUUCUCUUUUGCAGCAAAGAGUAAAGUCCUUCCUAAAGGCUUGUGAUGGAAAAGCCAAAACCCUAUGCAUCAAAUUGACAGUUCUCAAUUAUCCAGGGUGGACAUAUCCCAUUUGUGGGCGAUUCAGGCCUCUUCUACCCACAUUUUGCCUGCUUUCUUCAUCACCGGAACAUCUGCCAGAUGAUUGGAGAAGGAGCAGAGUUUGAUUUUGAAGUUCUUACAAAGGUUGGUGGGAACAAGAAGUUGAAGCUAGCCACUAAGGUAAGAUUUUUAAUUAUCUGAGGAUUUCCUUGACCCAGUGUGGAACAGAUAUUGGCCCUUCAUCCAGAUACUUGGAGGCUAUUUUUCUUUUGCUAUAUUCUCCACUGCAGUUUCAAAGUAAC
rnacentral:lncRNA from 1 species